GUGGGGAAUCUUAGACAAUGGGGGAAACCCUGAUCUAGCCAUGCCGCGUGAGUGAUGAAGGCCUUAGGGUUGUAAAGCUCUUUCAGCUGGGAAGAUAAUGACGGUACCAGCAGAAGAAGCCCCGGCUAACUCCGUGCCAGCAGCCGCGGUAAUACGGAGGGGGCUAGCGUUGUUCGGAAUUACUGGGCGUAAAGCGCGCGUAGGCGGACCAGAAAGUUGGAGGUGAAAUCCCAGGGCUCAACCUUGGAACUGCCUUCAAAACUCCUGGUCUGGAGUUCGAGAGAGGUGAGUGGAAUUCCGAGUGUAGAGGUGAAAUUCGUAGAUAUUCGGAGGAACACCAGUGGCGAAGGCGGCUCACUGGCUCGAUACUGACGCUGAGGUGCGAAAGCGUGGGGAGCAAACAGGAUUAGAAACCCGAGUAGUCC
rnacentral:rRNA from 1 species